CAAAAGUAAUUUAAUACUAUUUGGAAAGGACACACCAAUAGUGGAUGUUGUCUAUAAUGGUGAUGUCAUUCAAAGAGUCACCUCACACAAAUUUUUAGGUAUUAUCAUUGACCAGAAAUUGUCAUUUGAAGAACAUAUUAAAUAUGUAUCUAGAAAUGCAUUAAAUGGUGUUAACAUUUUAAGAUGUCUAGCAGGUGUUACAUGGGGUGCAGAUCCCAAAAUACUUUCAUUAUUAUAUAAAUCUAUUAACAGAGCUUUGAGGAUCAUAUCAGGAGCAAUGUGUUCGACUCCCAUAAGGGCCAUGGAAGUCGAAACAAAUAUUAUGCCAUUGAUAUUGAGACGACUUAUGCUUGCAGAAAGAUACUGCCUGAAACUAUUAUCAUCAAAUAAUAUCCAAAUUAUAAAUAGGAUAAUACCUCACCCAAUCAAUAUAGAUGGUCCACUCACUUCACCAAAUGAUCUCCUGAGAGGUACAUCUCCAACUCUGUGCCAGAUCUUCUUAGAAAUACAAUCUCAUUAU